CAGCACACAGUGCUGUGCCUGUUGGAUCUGCAGAAGGCAGGAACCACGCCCAGGAGGCAGGAGCCUUGGGGCUUGGCACACACACAUCCGCCUGAGAAGUCGGUCACAGAAACCCACUCCUAGCCCUCUCAGGAGGCCGUCUCCACACGGCACCUACGCUCCUGCAGGCUGCACCCAUGGCUGAUCCAGCGCCCCAUCGAGGAAUCCAGGCUGGUGGUCCUGCGCUACUGCUCUGUUUUACACUGGAGGAAACUGUGAGCUCAGAGUAUUAAGUGUAGCCGAAGUCUAGAUAAUGGGUACCCCUCCAGAUUAACAACACUUCCAGAUGAUGUAUGCCCUCUCCACUUCAUUAUCUCUGGGAGCCUCAGCCCUCGUAAGCUCGGACACACGCUGCUGUCAACAGGCCACACCUCAUCUCGGCCGGGCGCCAGCACACUGAGCAGGAAUGCUCCCGUGGAAUCCAGUCUGGAAACCCUCACCUGAGACUAAACACUUGUUUGCUGACAUCAUCAUCCAGAGAGAAAGAGAAUGAGCCAAAAGGAGCUCACCCACUUACCCACCCAGCCCUUCCUCACGGUUGCAGCUGGACUCUCAGGCCCAGCAUCUCCUCCACAGACUGGGCCCCCGCU